rnacentral:rRNA from 1 species
UACGUAGGGUGCAAGCGUUAAUCGGAAUUACUGGGCGUAAAGAGCUCGUAGGCGGUUUGUCGCGUCUGCCGUGAAAGUCCGGGGCUUAACUCCGGGUCUGCAGUGGGUACGGGCAGACUAGAGUGCAGUAGGGGAGACUGGAAUUCCUGGUGUAGCGGUGAAAUGCGCAGAUAUCAGGAGGAACACCGAUGGCGAAGGCAGGUCUCUGGGCUGUUACUGACGCUGAGGAGCGAAAGCAUGGGGAGCGAACAGG